rnacentral:rRNA from 1 species
GACGAACGCUGGCGGCGUGCUUAACACAUGCAAGUCGAACGGAAAGGCCCUGCUUUUGUGGGGUGUUCGAGUGGCGAACGGGUGAGUAACACGUGAGUAACCUGCCCUUGACUUUGGGAUAACUUCAGGAAACUGGGGCUAAUACCGGAUAGGAGCUCCUGCUGCAUGGUGGGGGUUGGAAAGUUUCGGCGGUUGGGGAUGGACUCGCGGCUUAUCAGCUUGUUGGUGGGGUAGUGGCUUACCAAGGCUUUGACGGGUAGCCGGCCUGAGAGGGUGACCGGCCACAUUGGGACUGAGAUACGGCCCAGACUCCUACGGGAGGCAGCAGUGGGGAAUAUUGCACAAUGGGCGGAAGCCUGAUGCAGCAACGCCGCGUGCGGGAUGACGGCCUUCGGGUUGUAAACCGCUUUCGCCUGUGACGAAGCGUGAGUGACGGUAAUGGGUAAAGAAGCACCGGCUAACUACGUG